rnacentral:rRNA from 1 species
UACAGAGGGGGCAAGCGUUAUUCGGAAUUAUUGGGCGUAAAGGGCGCGUAGGCGGCUUUGCAAGUGACGGGUGAAAUCCCUCGGCUUAACCGAGGAACUGCCUGUCAAACUGCAUGGCUUGAGACCGGGAGAGGUGAGUGGAAUUCCCAGUGUAGCGGUGAAAUGCGUAGAUAUUGGGAGGAACACCAGUGGCGAAGGCGGCUCACUGGACCGGUACUGACGCUGAUGCGCAAAAGCGUGGGGAGCAAACAGG